rnacentral:rRNA from 1 species
ACGCUCGACACCUACGGGGAGGCAGCAGGUGGGGAAUAUUGCACAAUGGGGGAAACCCUGAUGCAGCGACGCCGCGUGAGCGAAGAAGUAUUUCGGUAUGUAAAGCUCUAUCAGCAGGGAAGAAAGUGACGGUACCUGACUAAGAAGCACCGGCUAAAUACGUGCCAACAGCCGCGGUAAUCUGAGCGGGCUGGCAAGGC